UCCGACAAUUGACGCCACUGCUCGACAUCAUCUCAUAUUUCAAACCCUAAAUACCAAAGCUUUCAUCCAUUUCUUCAUUGUUCUUUGUAGAUUCGCGUAAACCACAAAGAUGGAAUUGGAUCCCUUAUGUUCUUUUCUCUAUUAUUGAUAUCUUUCACACUGUCCCUUUUUCUCCAAACCCCAAACCAAACUCUUGCUGCAUCUGGUUCUUCCUUCGCGAUUCAUCAAUAUUAAUUACAAGAUGAAACUUUUAGGUGGAAACAUCGUCAGAUGCCAGAUUUAUAUGCUUUGCGGGGUGAUGAUGUAUCUAUUGGUAAUGAUGUGAAGAAAGGAGAUUACCAUACCUUAUCAGCCAUAUGCAAUAGGCAGGGUCAAGUUUGAUGCAUUCGAACCAGAAAGAUGGUUUCAUCACAUUGUUGGUUUCAUCCACAAAGCUUCUUGUAAGUUUACAGCUUUGCAGGUAAUUUGUGCGAUUUGCAGUACUGAACAACAAGUUUGUUGUUGAAUUAUCUGAAGUUUAUGGGAAUUAUUAAGUUUGCAUAGCGUUUUUGAAAUGAUUAGGGCAAGGUAAGGUUAAAUAAUUUGCCCGCUAUUUUUAGCCUUUGUCACGUAUGUUACUCUUUUUCAAUGUUUUAAAAACCGGUUUAUACCGGCCGGUUGAACCAGUUAAACCGGAUGCCGGAAUCUUGGCUGGCACGAAUCAUGCCGCUAAAUUGAGGGAACGACAAAGAAGUUGUACCGCCGGUAAAUUCUAUGAAACCGGUAUACCGAUAUCGGGUCAAAGGUUAAAAUUUGGAAUUUUAAUCUUUCAUGGGCCAAAAAAAUGUGUCGAAUUACCUUCUUAGUAAAACUUAGCGCCCAAAAAAAAGGUACAAAUAGUGAAAUUUUUUAUUAUUUUUUUUAUUAUGGAUUAACUUUUAGAAUAUUUUUUUAUUAUAAAAAUAGGUAGUUUUAGAUUAUUUUUUGAGUAAAAAUUGUAACUGAGGCAACAGAAGACUCUGCACAAGUAGCAAAACUCUGCACAAGUACACAAAAAGGUAGUUUUGGAUAGUAGCAAAAAUUAGCUGUAAAUUAGCAACUGAGGCAACAGAAGACUCUACACAAGUAGCAAAACUCUGUUCAGCUCUAUAGUUGGUUGACCACAAGAUAAGAAAGGUAAUGUUCGGUGGGAUUUUGAAGAAUAUAUGUAGUGAACAAGGAGCUCAAAUCUCUGCCAUGGAAUUUCUCUUCAUGGCACAGAACAAUGGCAGCUGCUAUGGCGAAACAUCUGGCCUUUGGAAUUUCUCUUCAGCCAAAACUAUAUUCUCACUACCUGCACUGUUGACAUUUCAUGAAUAACAACGACCCAAACACUGUGGAUGAGUUUUUGGAAAGAAAAGAAAAAUUUUGAUGAUAGUAUGAAACUGGAACAAGGGUCUGCGACUUCAUUACUUGAGGAACGGGAACAUAGAGUAUUGUGUGAGUGAAGAAAGUUUAAUGGACCGUUUAAAUACCAAUACAAGUGCAGCAUGCCAACUGAUUUCCCAAAACUGCAGUUGAACACGCAUGCAUUGCUGGUGUAGGAAGUUGGAUAUGAUAUAGUUGUUGUGCAUGAUGCUGCAGCUUCCCGGGUACAAUGAUUAACUAAGGUGUCAAGUGAAGUUGAUCAUGCGCAAAGUGCGAACAUACCCCUUGAAAAGACAAGCUACAUAAAAACACGAGGAAAUGGAUUUGUUUUGCUAUUAUGGUUUUGAUCAUAGUUAUGUAAAUCGAAUGGCUUCAAACCCAAUUCAUUUGUAGAGCAGAUAUCAAGACUGCUUUUUAUCUAGAUCGAAUGGCCGGACACAUUUGGGAAUGGGAGAUGCUCUUUCAUUUGUAGAGAAGGCACAAGAAGUUGUGAGCAUCUGUAGGAAGUAGAUUUUGUCUCUUUAGUGUUAUGGGUUAGUUUUCAUUGUGCACGAUUGAGACACUUGCUUCGUAUCCUCAUUCAAUUGGAACAAGUCAAAGAUAAGGCUGGUGAUUGAAGAACUUGAUGGAAAGAAAAAAGAGGCACCGAAUGUCAUAUGGGUAUUUAGUUGGGAAACAUGCUUUCAUAAUAAGGGACCAAAUGAUAUGCAAUUUCGACCUAAACGAGAAGUUUUGGUUUCGAUUCCCACCAAAAGGAUCUAAGGUUACACCCACCAUUUCAAUCUGGGGAGUCUAUAUGGAAAUAUUAUUGCCCAAUUGUGUUUAGGUACUAUUUUGCCUCAAUUGAUAGAAUCUUGAAUUUUAUUUUGAUGGGUUUUUUUUUGUUAAAAUUAUGACUAGACAUUUGAGGGAGUUGUUCCAAGUGGAUCAUAUUAUAUGU